UUACGGCCAUAUCACGUUAAAACAUCGGUUCUCAUCAGAUCACAGGAGUUAAGCAACGUUGAACUUGGUCAGUAACUAGAAAGGUGACCGCUCGGGAAUAUCAGGUUCUGUAAG